rnacentral:rRNA from 1 species
UGGGGAAUAUUGCACAAUGGGCGCAAGCCUGAUGCAGCCAUGCCGCGUGUAUGAAGAAGGCCUUCGGGUUGUAAAGUACUUUCAGUCGGGAGGAAGGUGUUAAGGUUAAUAACCUUGACAAUUGACGUUACCGACAGAAGAAGCACCGGCUAACUCCGUGCCAGCAGCCGCGGUAAUACGGAGGGUGCCAGCGUUAAUCGGAAUUACUGGGCGUAAAGCGCACGCAGGCGGUUGAUUGAGUCAGAUGUGAAAUCCCCGGGCUUAACCCUGGAAUUGCAUCUGAUACUGGUCAGCUAGAGUCUUGUAGAGGGGGGUAGAAUUCCAUGUGUAGCGGUGAAAUGCGUAGAGAUGUGGAGGAAUACCGGUGGCGAAGGCGGCCCCCUGGACAAAGACUGACGCUCAGGUGCGAAAGCGUGGGGAGCAAACA